AUCAGCCGAAGCCGAAGGUUUGUAUGAUUUUAUUUUUUAUGAGUUAUAUAUGACCUCUGUGUGAGUCAUGACUGACACAAAAUCAGUUUUUUAAGUGUUGAAAAUGAUGUAAUUUUGUUCUCUGUAUUGCACAAUUAGUGAGGACUCCAAAUAUACAUGUUUUUUCAGGGCCAAUCAAGCAAACUGAACAAUCAAAAUAAUUUUUGUAAUAAUCUGCUCUUGCAGUCCACCUCACCAGGCAAAAUAAUUUUGGCUCAAAGGAUUUACUUCAAGUUCUUCAAGCUCCCUAGUUUUCUCUUUCACACUCUUUAGGUGGUGUUUGAAAUGAUUUAAGCUGCUUAAGUCUUGAAUGAAAUCAUUUGAGAACUUUGUGAAACUUCGGUAAAAAGGAAUUACCACACUAGUGUCUGCCAGGUUUGCAAAAAAGUGGAGAGAAGCCCUGGAGCUGGUAACUAAAAUUGCAGGCAGACCACGAGCUAAGAGCAUGUUCCAAAAUAAGUGUGACACAGGGUCAAACUCCAACUGGACUCACAACAGACAAAAUAACAUGGUAGAAAGGGUUGCCAGAAGUGUCAGAUGAGGUCAAAGUAAACUGAAAUUUACACUUGUUUUCUCAAAAUGUUGCUAUUUUUUUCCUAACAUUUUAUUAUUAUCACAACAUCACUUACAUCACUUUCACUACAAAACGUAAGGUUAAAAAAAUUCUAUUACAAGAACUAAGAUUACUAGUUGUAAUCUUCCCAAAAUGUUGUUAUUUGUUGUGGAGAGUCUCCCCUCUUUGCCCGUGUAAGUACACAGUCGAUCAUCUUUAAUGCAAUAAUCAUUAUUAUGAUUAUUAUUAUAAUCAGUUUAUAUCUUGUUGUUUACAAUACUGACCAAAAGAAAGUUACCACCAUCUCCCAGAAUGCAUCUUGAUUCUCUUGAGAUGCAUCUCGUUUCAUUCGAAUCCUUUCUUGUUUACAGUUACAAUGGCUAAAAAAAACCGUCAUUAUGCGCUAAACAGUUAAUCCCCAUUGCCACCCUCUUACAAGAAAAACUUUCCUCUACAAUAAUUUGUAGAUGGUUAAACCAGGCAAGCAAAAUCAUCCUCACAGCCGGUCAAUUUGCCCAGUACCUGGCCCCUCAUGAAACCUCCUGUAAAUUGUUAAUGUUAUCCUUCGAAUCAAAUUAUUACAAAUCCCUGAAUGCAAGUCUGGUUUUAGCCGCUCAUUAUGUUAAUAUUGUUAUUACAGUAUAUGGUUACAUGUGGCUCCCUGAGCAGGCAAGGUUUACCAAAUCCUACCCUGUGAUUGGCUACCCCAGCAGCAUGAUACACAUCAAGAAGAAAGGAGCCUAGAGUUUCAAGACAGGACAAUAUGAUAUCAACAUGGAAACUGAUUGUUGGGUUUAGUAUACAAAAUAGGGAAGCAACAAUGAAAGUACAGUAUGUGCUGAGACUCAAGAGGACAAAGAAUCAAUUGGGACAUUGGAUCCCUUGAAAAGCUGCAUCUCAAGUGUACACGCAGUGACAUUAAUAUGGAGAAAGAAGCAAAGGAAAGCAACGAACUUCUUUUAGAUUUUACAAGACAAAGUUGAUCUCGAUUGAGUUUCUUGCGAAAGAUUGUUAGGACGGAGCUCGUAUUAGUGAUUUCACAACACAAAAUUUUCAAAUUGUCUAUUAUCUGCCAAAUUGCCUCGUACGUUGUUAGUUUUCGAGUAAGUUGUAAACUAUAUUUCAAGUUUGUGGCUUGAAAUUAGGGUAGAAUGUUAGUAUUACCUGGGCUUGUUUUUGCAACCCGAUUUUCAGUCUGGAAGUCCUUGUAUUAAACUCGUUGAAAUAGCUAAGAGUCUAGUAGUCUAGUUCACAAAUUUAGCGACAUCUUUCCAGUUUUCGAGAACGCAUUAAAGUGAUAAAAAGGUUUCGCUUUUAAGAGGGCCAAGAAAAAAAUCGAAAAGUGGAAAAAUUGUACUUAGAAAAAAAAGUCUGCAAUUUUAAAUGGUGUCUGGUUUUGAGUCGAACAUAUACAGAGUCUUGGUGGAGAAAAUCUAGCGCUGCGUAGGAUUUUUCCCAUCAAACGUCACAGUAUAUGCUUGAUUUCUGGCUAGACUCUGUUUAAAGGCGCAGAAUUUUUUUCUUUUUGGCAACCCUACAUAGUCAAAAACUAGUAAAAGAGAGCCUACAUUUUGACUAGUUUCCAGGCCCUUUUAAAACCGCAUUUUUUU